rnacentral:rRNA from 1 species
GAUGAACGCUGGCGGCGUGCCUAAUACAUGCAAAUCGAGCGAACAGACGAGGAGCUUGCUCCUCUGACGUUAGCGGCGGACGGGUGAGUAACACGUGGAUAACCUACCUAUAAGACUGGGAUAACUUCGGGAAACCGGAGCUAAUACCGGAUAAUAUAUUGAACCGCAUGGUUCAAUAGUGAAAGACGGUUUUGCUGUCACUUAUAGAUGGAUCCGCGCCGCAUUAGCUAGUUGGUAAGGUAACGGCUUACCAAGGCAACGAUGCGUAGCCGACCUGAGAGGGUGAUCGGCCACACUGGAACUGAGACACGGUCCAGACUCCUACGGGAGGCAGCAGUAGGGAAUCUUCCGCAAAGGGCGAAAGCUUGACGGAGCAACGCCGCGUGAGUGAUGAAGGUCUUCGGAUCGUAAAACUCUGUUAUUAGGGAAGAACAAAUGUGUAAGUAACUAUGCACGUCUUGACGGUACCUAAUCAGAAAGCCACGGCUAACUACGUG